rnacentral:tRNA from 1 species
GUGAAUGUAGUUUAAUGGUAAAACAACCUGAGUAUCAGAGCAGUUGUAGGUUCGAGUCCUGCCGUUCAUA